rnacentral:rRNA from 1 species
AUUGAACGCUGGCGGCAUGCUUUACACAUGCAAGUCGAACGGUAACAGGCCGCAAGGUGCUGACGAGUGGCGAACGGGUGAGUAAUGCAUCGGAACGUGCCCAGUCGUGGGGGAUAACUGCUCGAAAGAGCAGCUAAUACCGCAUACGAUCUAUGGAUGAAAGCGGGGGACCGUAAGGCCUCGCGCGAUUGGAGCGGCCGAUGUCAGAUUAGGUAGUUGGUGGGGUAAAGGCUCACCAAGCCAACGAUCUGUAGCUGGUCUGAGAGGACGACCAGCCACACUGGGACUGAGACACGGCCCAGACUUCGACGGGAGGCAGCAGUGGGGAAUUUUGGACAAUGGGGGCAACCCUGAUCCAGCAAUGCCGCGUGCAGGAAGAAGGCCUUCGGGUUGUAAACUGCUUUUGUACGGAACGAAACGGUCUGGGUUAAUACCCUGGGCUAAUGACGGUACCGUAAGAAUAAGCACCGGCUAACUACGUGCCAGCCGCCGCCGUAAUAC